UACGGAGGGUGCAAGCGUUAUCCGGAUUCACUGGGUUUAAAGGGUGCGUAGGUGGGUCUGUAAGUCAGUGGUGAAAUCUCCGGGCUUAACUCGGAAACUGCCAUUGAUACUAUAGGUCUUGAAUUAUCUGGAGGUAAGCGGAAUAUGUCAUGUAGCGGUGAAAUGCUUAGAUAUGACAUAGAACACCAAUUGCGAAGGCAGCUUACUACGGAUACAUUGACACUGAGGCACGAAAGCGUGGGGAUCAAACAGG
rnacentral:rRNA from 1 species